rnacentral:rRNA from 1 species
UCGAGGAUCAUUCGCAAUGGGCGCAAGCCUGACGAUGCGACGCUGCGUGGAGGAUGAAGGCCCUCGGGUUGUAAACUCCUGUCAUGAGGGAAGAGGAGAGCGUCACCAACACUGACGCGAUUUGACGGUACCUCAAGAGGAAGCCACGGCUAACUCUGUGCCAGCAGCCGCGGUAAUACAGAGGUGGCGAGCGUUGUUCGGAUUUACUGGGCGUAAAGGGCGCGUAGGCGGCCGCGUGUGUCGGGUGUGAAAUCCCAGGGCUCAACCCUGGAAGUGCGCCCGAAACUGCACGGCUAGAGUGCGGGAGGGGAGAUCGGAAUGCAGGGUGUAGCGGUGAAAUGCGUUGAUAUCCUGCAGAACACCGGUGGCGAAGGCGGAUCUCUGGAACGCAACUGACGCUGAGGCGCGAAAGUCGGGGGAGCAAACA